ACUUCAUGAAAAUUUAGAUCGUUACUAACUUUACAACGAUCGAUUAUUUCCCAAAUAGCUUCGGGACACUUGUGAAAACUAAAAAUGUCUAUAAUAAAUUCUUUAAUGCCUAGAAUGUGUACACGCUUUGGCAAAAAGCACGCAGAAAUGGCUUCGCAUUGGAUUGGAACUGGUGCUGCCUAUGGAGCUACUGCAGGACUAGCACUCUGUUAUUUUACCGAAUGGAAAGCAGUUUUACAAUAUCUACCGUACUAUGGUGGCAAAUAUGUAGAAUCGGAUUAGUUUGGUUGUAAAUAAAAUAGUUAAUGUAGAUAAUUACUUUAAUAUUUAUACAUGCGACAUUACAUUUCAAUUACAUUUUGUGGUAGUGUG